GACGAACGCUGGCGGCGUGCCUAAUACAUGCAAGUAGAACGCACAGUUUAUACCGUAGCUUGCUACACCAUAGACUGUGAGUUGCGAACGGGUGGGUAACGCGUAGGUAACCUGCCUGGUAGCGGGGGAUAACUAUUGGAAACGAUAGCUAAUACCGCAUAAUAUUAAUUAUUGCAUGAUAAUUAAUUGAAAGGUGCAAUUGCACCACUACCAGAUGGACCUGCGUUGUAUUAGCUAGUAGGUGAGGUAACGGCUCACCUAGGCGACGAUACAUAGCCGACCUGAGAGGGUGAUCGGCCACACUGGGACUGAGACACGGCCCAGACUCCUACGGGAGGCAGCAGUAGGGAAUCUUCGGCAAUGGACGAAAGUCUGACCGAGCAACGCCGCGUGAGUGAAGAAGGUUUUCGGAUCGUAAAGCUCUGUUGUAAUAGAAGAACGGGUGUGAGAGUGGAAAGUUCACACUGUGACGGUAUCUUACCAGAAAGGGACGGCUAAUUACGUG
rnacentral:rRNA from 1 species